rnacentral:ncRNA from 1 species
CAAGCAACUCGGCGCGCGCCACACCAAUUCCACUUCAAACUGACAAAUACCUCCCCCCAUAAACACACACAAAAACGAAACAAAAACACAACCCACCAUAAUCAACGACCCAAUAAAAUCAACAACUCCCCCCGGUCUUUGUAGCUUAUAAAAAGCAUAACACUGAAGAUGUUAAGAUGGAUGCCACACGCACCCAAAGACAAAAGACUUAGUCCUAACCUUACUGUUGGUUGUUGCUAGAUAUAUACAUGCGAGUAUCCGCGCCCCAGUGUAGAUGCCCUAGGCACCCUGACCCACAGGUCGAUAGGAGCGGGUAUCAGGCACACCACAACCGUAGCCCAAAACGCCUUGCAAUUGCCACACCCCCACGGGCAUUCAGCAGUAAUUAAGAUUAAGCAAUGAGUGCAAACUUGACUUAGUCAUAGCAAUAUCAGGGUCGGUAAAUCCUGUGCCAGCCACCGCGGUCAUACAGGAGACCCAAAUCAACUUUAUAACGGCGUAAAGAGUGGUCACAUGCUAUCCAAGUAGCUAAGAUUAAAAAGCAACUGAGCUGUCGCAAGCCCAAGAUGCGUAUAAGGCCUCCAUUCAAAGAAGAUCUUAGACCAACGAUUGAUUGAAAUCCACGAAAGCCAGGGCCCAAACUGGGAUUAGAUACCCCACUAUGCCUGGCCCUAAAUCUUGAUGCUCAACCUUACCGAAGCAUCCGCCCGAGAACUACGAGCGCAAACGCUUAAAACUCUAAGGACUUGGCGGUGUCCCAAACCCACCUAGAGGAGCCUGUUCUGUAAUCGAUGAUCCACGAUAGACCUGACCAUUUCUUGCCAAAACAGCCUAUAUACCGCCGUCGCCAGCCCACCCACCAUGAAGGACCAACAGUGGACGCAAUAGCCCCAUCCCGCUAAUACGACAGGUCAAGGUAUAGCCUAUGGAAUGGUAGCAAUGGGCUACAUUUUCUAGACUAGAACACAACGGCAAAGGGACAUGAAACUGUCCCUGGAAGGAGGAUUUAGCAGUAAAGUGGGACAAUCGAGCCCUCUUUAAGCCGGCCCUGGGACACGUACAUACCGCCCGUCACCCUCCUCAAAAGCGCCCCCCCCCCCCCCAUAAAUUAAUAAGAUACUCAGCCAAAGAUGAGGUAAGUCGUAACAAGGUAAGUGUACCGGAAGGUGCACUUAGGACAC